AAUUUUGGACCAUGGCGGCAACCCUGAUCCAACCAUCCCGCGUGUGCGAUGAAGGCCUUCGGGUUGUAAAGCACUUUUGGCAGGGCAGCACAGGCUCUGGCUACUACCUGGAGCUGCUGACGGUACCUGCAGCAUACGCACCGGCUCACUACGUCCCAGCAGCCGCGGUAAUCCGUAGGGGGCAAGCGUUAAUCGGAAUUACUGGGCGUAAAGCGUGCGCAGGCGGUUCGGCAAGAAGGAUGUGAAAUCCCAGGGCUUAACCUUGGAACUGCAUUCUUAACUGCCGGGCUAGAGUAUGUCAGAGGGGGGUAGAAUUCCGCGUGUAGCAGUGAAAUGCGUAGAGAUGCGGAGGAAUACCGAUGGCGAAGGCAGCCCCCUGGGAUAAUACUGACGCUCAUGCACGAAAGCGUGGGGAGCAAAC
rnacentral:rRNA from 1 species